GUGAUGUUUGAACCUGCAGUAAGGAUGUGAUUACACCGCUUCUUCCUGACUUUCUCACCGUUUAGUCCUCCUGGGUGACUCUGCUGCUCCUGGCAGUUAAACAGCGACAAACUUUGAUCAGUUCAUUUAAACAGAGACGAUAUAAAACAGCCUGUAAUUCCCAGCUGGUGUCUUUUAGCCAGCAUCAACUCAUUUGCUUGUUUUUGGCCCACAGCAACUUAUCAAUCCUAGAGACAAAUGCAUUUCAGAAAAUAUCUUUGAAUUCUACUUUUUUUAAUAAAUCAAGCUGUUUUUAUUGGAGUAAAAGAGCCUAAUCUGUCAGAAAGACUUUAUUGUAGGAAGAAUAUUGGUGCCCCCAGAGGAAAGUGUUUGAUUCUUCAUGUCAUCUGAGGAGCAGUGGAGCAGAAAAACGUUUUGGUAAAUGAGUUAGCCGGUUUAUUGACCCCCUGUUUAAAUAGACCUGUUGGACUUUCUCCUCCUCCAGAAGCUGCCCUCAUACCAUCCUGAACAUUUGAGCUUUUGGAGAGCGAAUCGUCCCCUCUGAUCAUGCAACUGGCUUCCCUCUCGCUCUUCCUGAUUGCCGUACACGUUUCUGUAAGAGUGGACUGCAGACCGAGGCUCCAGCAUCUACAGCGACCGCGCACAGGAAGCCCAGAGCCGGGGGCACGUCCACAUUCAUCAGCCGGAUCAGGACCUUUCUACGUAGGACUGAGACGUGUCGUCCACAGAGAGCCGCUGGUAGCAACAGGUCCAGACGACCUGGUGGUGAUCUUUGACAGGGGAAGGAAGCGGUUCCUGUGCGUGGACAUUAAGGGAAAACUCUACAAGCCUGUGAGUACCUUCUAGCUGCGCCUGAACAGAACCCGGCCGGAGAACCCAGAGCUCUGUCAACAUCUCUGUUUUUCUGCUUGCAGAGGCAAAAGCACAGAAGACCUUGUCUGUUUGGGCACGUCUGGUUCCAGCUGGCCAAACAGCGCCACCUGUUUUUCUCUGUGAGCGGGAGCCGCUUGAUGAAACCCGGGGGAGGAGGUCAGGGGGAGGUUCACCGCGGAGCGACAGACGGGCCCUCAGUCCUGCUGGAGAGGUUUCUGAGGAGGCAGAGGAGGAGUGAGGAGGUGAACCCCUCGGACCCUCUGAGAACAGAGUCCCACCCUGCACCUCCUGCAAAGGAUGCAGAACAGAAUCAGGCGGGCGCCGUGUCCAAGGAGACCAUCACGUCCUGCGACGACCCCCUGCGGGUCCUGAGGCCCAACGGACACGGCAGUCCUGUAAAGACCAACAUCGCCGACCGGGCAGAACACGAGUGAAGCACGGGACCAGAGGGUACGGAGAGAAAAAACGACGAUGAAAGUCUGCAUGACUGACUUAAAACGCUUUAUGUGACCGCCGGUUGAGCAGAAACUCAGAGGGACGUGGUUCUGUCAGCGAGAGACAGAGACAGAGACAAAGAGACACUCGGGUCGGGUUCCUCUCGGUCUGAGGCGACGGGAAAGCGGCAAACGUUGAAAAUCCGCUCCAAUCAAAUGUUAUCUUGGUCUGAUCUGAUCACAGAGGCUCGUUCAGGCCUCUGUUUGAACAGCAGAUGGAGGAUAGGUCUGGGCCCGCUGUCCUUUAACCUCCUUUCUCUGUUAAAUUUUAAUCCUUGAACCACAUGAGGCAAUGCUUAUUUCACAUUUGUUAAAAAAAAGGUUGAACUCUGAAUAUCCACACACACAAAUAUGUAUUAAAACCUGUAUAUUCCUAAUUUAUGUUUAAACAAACAUAAAUUCCAGACCAGUGUUGUCAUUGCUGAACCAGAAGAAAGGAAUCUGCUCUUUGCAAGCACUCAUAAAAUGAUCAGGUGCUGGACACCAACAGUCUCAGCAAUGAAAGAUAUUUAUUUAUUGAAAUGUGUGUCAUAACUUCUUUUAUCGCCUGAUGUUUUUUAUUUAUAUAUUUCAUGAUGUUUUAUUUCUGAUAGAAAAUUAAAAAAUAAACACAAACUAUUUUGUAGGCCUUGGUUUGUCUUUGUUUCCAUAAUAAAUGGUUGAAAAUAAAAAGUUAAUAAAGCCGUU